rnacentral:rRNA from 1 species
CAGUAACGGCGAGUGAAGCGGCAACAGCUCAAAUUUGAAAUCUGGCUCCUUCGGGGUCCGAAUUGUAAUUUGUAGAGAGUGCUUCGGGCGAGACCUCGGUCUAAGUCCAUUGGAACAUGGUGUCAUAGAGGGUGAGAAUCCCGUAUGCGACCGUGGCUCGAGCCCAUGUAAAGCCUCUUCGACGAGUCGAGUUGUUUGGGAAUGCAGCUCAAAACGGGUGGUAAAUUUCAUCUAAAGCUAAAUACUGGCUGGAGACCGAUAGCGCACAAGUAGAGUGAUCGAAAGACGAAAAGCACUUUGGAAAGAGAGUUAAACAGUACGUGAAAUUGUUGAAAGGGAAGCGCUUGCAACCAGACCUGCCCGUAGGCGAUCCGCCGCUGUUCUCAGCGGUGUACUCGCUCUGCGAUCAGGCCAGCAUCGGUUUCGGCGGUCGGAUAAAGGCCUUGGGAAUGUAGCUUCCCUUCGGGGGAGUCUUAUAGCCCUCGGUGCAAUGCGGCCAGCCGGGACCGAGGACCGCGCUUCGGCUAGGAUGCUGGCGUAAUGGUUGUAAGCGACCCGUCUUGAAACACGGACCAAGGAGUCUAACAUCUAUGCGAGUGUUUGGGUGUCAAACCCAUACGCGGAAUGAAAGUGAACGGAGGUGAGAACCCUCAAGGGCGCAUCAUCGACCGAUCCAGAUGUCUUCGGAUGGAUUUGAGUAGGAGCAUAGCUGUUGGGACCCGAAAGAUGGUGAACUAUGCCUGAAUAGGGUGAAGCCAGAGGAAACUCUGGUGGAGGCUCGCAGCGGUUCUGACGUGCAAAUCGAUCGUCAAAUUUGGGUAUAGGGGCGAAAGACUAAUC